UUUCAGAGUUUAUUUUGUAGUACCAACAAACUUUGGUAAUUUAGCAAAUUGUAGCAAUAAAAAUGCACUCUCGACAAGGUCUCAGUGAGCUUGUGACAAAUAAAUAGCACAGUGAUACUAAUUUACACAACAAAAAUACUACUAUAAAUUUCAUAAUCAAAAGGACAGAAAUGAAUUAUAACGCUUCUUCUUGUCACUACUUUACACUGGGAUCUUUGUCUUUUUAAAUAAAGCUUUUCCAUUUUUGAAGUACCACUUAGCAUGUUGUCCUUUAAUAAUAAAUAGAUUGUUGUCCAUUUCAACAUGCAAAACUGCUUUGUUUUUGAGAAUGUUCCACAUAUACUAUAUACACUUAAAACAAAACAAUUAAAAAAAAAAAACAUUCUGUCUUUCACAAACUCUCUUUAAUAUCACACAUCCCAGAAGCUUAAUGUAUAUUAUCAAAAUGAUUUAUGGUUGUUGUAGUGUUGAUAAAGAAACAUGAUCAGCAUAUACCAACUUUGAACAUCGUAAUAUACUCAAUUUGGUGUUAUACAUAGUUUAUUUAUUUAUUUAUUUUUUAAAAAAGUCUAUGCUUUUAGGAAAGGUUCACUUGGACACAUGCUCAGAGAAGGUUCCCGUUGAUAAAGCUUGGACACACAGCUGAAUGCCUAUUGAGUCCUCUACUGGUUCACUGACUAUUUCAAAAUCAGUGACUUGGACAAUAAUACAUAUAUAUUUUCCCCUUUUAGAAUUCAGGUCAAACAAAUAUUUCCAUUUCAUUAUAUAUACACACAAAUGUGGACUUAAAUAAGUAUUCUUCUGAGCAGAGAUGCAACGACAUUAUUAUAAUCAUUUUUUUCACAAACAUCUUGCAGAAAUCACUCCAAUACCGUUCUUAACCAUGUAGUAGUUUAAGGUCCCCCUGUUUCUGUAAUACCGUUCUUAACCAUGUUGUAGUUUAAGGUCCCCCUGUUUCUGUAAUACCGUUCUUAACCAUGUUGUAGUAUAAGGUCCCCCUGUUUCUCUAAUACCGUUCUUAACCAUGUUGUAGUUUAAGGUCCCCCCUGUUUCUCUAAUACCGUUCUUAACCAUGUUGUAGUUUAAGGUCCCCCUGUUUCUCUAAUACCGUUCUUAACCAUGUUGUAGUUUAAGGUCCCCCUGUUUCUCUAAUACCGUUCUUAACCAUGUUGUAGUUUAAGGUCCCCCUGUUUCUCUAAUACCGUUCUUAACCAUGUUGUAGUUUAAGGUCCCCCUGUUUCUCUAAUACCGUUCUUAACCAUGUUGUAGUUUAAGGUCCCCCUGUUUCUCUAAUACCGUUCUUAACCAUGUUGUAGUUUAAGGUCCUCCCCUGUUUCUCUAAUACCGUUCUUAACCAUGUUGUAGUUUAAGGUCCCCCCUGUUUCUCUAAUACCGUUCUUAACCAUGUAGUAGUUUAAGGUCCCCCCUGUUUCUCUAAUACCGUUCUUAACCAUGUAGUUUAAGGUCCCCCUGUUUCUCUAAUACCGUUCUUAACCAUGUUGUAGUUUAAGGUCCCCCCUGUUUCUCUAAUACCGUUCUUAACCAUGUUGUAGUUUAAGGUCCCCCCUGUUUCUCUAAUACCGUUCUUAACCAUGUUGUAGUUUAAGGUCCCCCUGUUUCUCUAAUACCGUUCUUAACCAUGUAGUAGUUUAAGGUCCCCCCUGUUUCUCUAAUACCGUUCUUAACCAUGUUGUAGUUUAAGGUCCCCCUGUUUCUCUAAUACCGUUCUUAACCAUGUUGUAGUUUAAGGUCCCCCCUGUUUCUCUAAUACCGUUCUUAACCAUGUAGUUUAAGGUCCCCCUGUUUCUCUAAUACCGUUCUUAACCAUGUUGUAGUUUAAGGUCCCCCCUGUUUCUCUAAUACCGUUCUUAACCAUGUUGUAGUUUAAGGUCCCCCCUGUUUCUCUAAUACCGUUCUUAACCAUGUUGUAGUUUAAGGUCCCCCCUGUUUCUCUAAUACCGUUCUUAACCAUGUAGUUUAAGGUCCCCCUGUUUCUCUAAUACCGUUCUUAACCAUGUUGUAGUUUAAGGUCCCCCCUGUUUCUCUAAUACCGUUCUUAACCAUGUUGUAGUUUAAGGUCCCCCUGUUUCUCUAAUACCGUUCUUAACCAUGUUGUAGUUUAAGGUCCCCCCUGUUUCUCUAAUACCGUUCUUAACCAUGUUGUAGUUUAAGGUCCCCCUGUUUCUCUAAUACCGUUCUUAACCAUGUUGUAGUUUAAGGUCCCCCUGUUUCUCUAAUACCGUUCUUAACCAUGUUGUAGUUUAAGGUCCCCCCUGUUUCUCUAAUACCGUUCUUAACCAUGUUGUAGUUUAAGGUCCCCCUGUUUCUCUAAUACCGUUCUUAACCAUGUUGUAGUUUAAGGUCCCCC